rnacentral:rRNA from 1 species
CCUGGCUUAGGAUGAACGCUGGCGGCGUGCUUAAUACAUGCAAGUCGAACGAAGCACUUACAGCCGAUCCCUUCGGGGUGAAGCAGUUUGUGACUUAGUGGCGGACGGGUGAGUAACGCGUGGGUAACCUGCCUUAUGCAGGGGGAUAACAGUUAGAAAUGACUGCUAAUACCGCAUAAGCGCACGGCACCGCAUGGUGCAGUGUGAAAAGAUUUAUCGGCAUAAGAUGGACCCGCGUCUGAUUAGGUAGUUGGUGAGGUAACGGCCCACCAAGCCUACGAUCAGUAGCCGACUUGAGAGAGUGAUCGGCCACAUUGGGACUGAGACACGGCCCAGACUCCUACGGGAGGCAGCAGUAGGGAAUAUUGCACAAUGGGGGAAACCCUGAUGCAGCGACGCCCGCGUGAGUGAUUGAAGCAUUUCGGUGCGUAAAGCUCUAUCAGCAGGGAAGAUAAUGACGGUACCUGACUAAGAAGCCCCGGCUAACUACGUGCCAGCAGCUGC